CAGAAACUAUUUUGUUAUUUAUUUUGGAAAAUAUGAAAAAUCACAUUUUAUUUAUACUCAAUUGUUAUACAUAAAAAUUACAAUAAUUGAUCAGGUGUAAUUUUUCAAAAUCACAUAAAUAUAUAAUUUCAAUUGAACAACAGCUGUAUCUCAUGUUUCUGGCUAACACUAGGUUUCAAAGAGAAAACCAUUUACAACUGGUUAGGAUCAGGGCUCCACAAAUAUUUUAAAAGGUAGCUGGAAAUCUUUAAAUCCAAUUUUAAUCUUUAAAAUUUUGUAACAAAAGGCAAUCAAGUAAUUAUGAUUUGGACAUCAAGGAUAAUGAUUAACCUGAAAUUGGUACUUCAAUAUAGAUUGAGAGAACUUCUGGUAACUCUCACAUUGGUAGUUGUGUUAACUGACAAUAAUGCAUUGUUUUUUACUGCACACAAAUGGAGCAGCCUGUCCAUUGUACUACCACUGCAAAAUAUGGUUAACAAGAAUGUGUCCAUAGUAAACGGAUGCCCCACUCUUGCUUUCAUUUUCUAUGUUCAGUAGACUGUGAAAUUGGUGUCAAAACUCUAAUUUGGCAUUAAAAUACAAAAGAUCAUAUCAUAGGCAACAUGUAAACUAACAUUCAAGAUGAUUGAACUUCAACUUCAUCAAAAAAUGACCUUGACUAAAAACUUUGACCUGAAGCCAGACAGGCCAACCAAAGGACAGUUGCACAAGAUCGAAAAACUUAAUGCCCAAAAAUGAAAAAAAAACACUGAAAAUGUUCCCUACUUGAAACAAGGUGAUACACUUGAUUUGUGACAACUCUCCACUUAUGAUUAUCCAUUUAUAUAUUUUGUAUUGGUGGAAUAUUGCUGCCUCAUCAUGGAAUUAAUCAAAUGGUCCUUACUUUCAGAAACGAAAGACAUUUUGUAGAUCUACAAUACACAAAAAUAAGGUGCAGGACUUGAAAAUAUAAGACAACCUGGCAAUGUAACAAAAUUAAAAAUCUAAACAAAUAUUAACUAUAAGAAGAUAUAUAAUAAAUUGUAUAUAAACAAAGAAAAAGAACAAUAAGAAUUUAAUGUUAAUGAGAUAUUACAGCAGAAUGCAUUGAGUGUAAUGGUAAAGGUAAUGUCUUUGGUCAGCUUGCUUGUUAGCUGAACCGUGAAGUCUGUAUUAGGUUAGAUAUUCUACCCUUCUUUAAGAGUGGUCCAGUCCUACAGUCAGAUAGGUCGGACUAGUCUUCCCUUAAAGGAAGGUAGUAAACCUUACCUUAUAAUGACUUCACAUCAAGCUAGCCAAAGAUAUUACCUUUACCCACACACUCAAUGGAUUCUGCUCUAAUGAGAAAUAAAUGGAACGCUUGACUAGCAACAUCAUGAAAAGAUGAAAUACAACCACAGACCAUGCAUUGUUUCAUUUAUAGGAUAUGGAUUAUUCAGCUAUCACUAUAAAUUACGUAAUUUGAUUUUGUAUCUAGUUGACAAUGUAAGAAUCAAAAUGAUGCAGUACCUUGCAAAGACUAAUGCAUGUAUUCAUAUUUCAAUAUCAAUGUCAACCCGUAACAUUUUAUAUAAAACUAUUGCAUCAAACAUAACCUCAAUCAUACAGUUUAAUGAUUUUAGGUAAUUAUACUCUAAUGGCUCGAUUUGACAAGGUAUUAUUCAACUGUGAACAAUUGACUGAUGUAAAAAUGAAAUAAGUAUUUUUGGGUUACAGAAAUAAAAAAUAUGUAUUUGCUUCUAUCAGUUGGGUACUGAAUAUUUGUACUUUACAGUUAACAUGGUUAAGUAAUAUCUUAAAUUGUUUUAAGAAAAAGGCAAUUUCUUAUGAUAGUAUGAUGUCGAUAAAAUUGAGAAUGGAAACAGGUAAUGUGUCAAAGAGACAACAACCCAACCCAAGUAUGAUCAGGUAGAGAUAACCCAGACAAUUUAUACUUUUACAUUGAAACAUGUAAAUAAAUAAACAUACAUGAAUUCAUUUCCUCACUACUUCAAAGCUUUCAAAUUUAUCAACAUCUAAAAUCUGUUCGCCUUUUCAGAAUCUAAAGGACUAUGGGUAAUCUCAUUAUUCGUACACCAAAAUGAAAAUAACGUUAUAUUACUGGUUGAAUUUCAAUUGUUUAGCAUGUUUUUAACCAAUCACAACACUUUGGUGUAUGUUUUUAAAAAUAUUACCCAGAAUGCAUUAGAUUCUGCAACCGGGAAUUAUUCAUAUCAUUUAAAAAUAACCUUUUCAAUUACACUUUUUCUUUCAAAUCCUUGUCAGUAAAUAAGUUUAAGAAAUUUGAUUACUCUAAUGAAUAUAAAAAUCUGGCAAGUAAAAAUUGUAUAUUAUAUGCUUUGAAACUACAAUAUUUUGGUUUAAUUCCUGUCCUGCCACUGUCAUCAAAGAUACCACCUGACAUUUAAAGCAUAGACCUGUGGGACAUAAUGUAAAAUCAUUCUUUAAAGCAAUUUCGAUUUAAAACAAAAAUUAAACAAAAAAGAUAUAUAUUUCAAAAACACUAUAACAAUACAAACAACAAUUUCUCUAACAUAUACCAUUUCUAAUAAUUGCACUUGUGUAUAUAUGGAAGCUUAAUCAUUUUUAACUAUUAAAUAAAUAAUUGUAAAAAAAAAUAACAUAAUUAUUAAUAACAAAUUACAAGCAAUUACCUGACAUACAGUAUUAAAUACCUGCCUACAAUUUCAUGUGAACAUAUUGAGAUUUUUGUCAUGCCAUUAGUCUUUUGAAAUAUUUGAUAUUUUUUAUAUGAUAGUGAUUAAUAUGCAUACUAUAGUCUAAAAAAAAAUAAUCUUAAAAUGAAUCUCAAGAAAAUUUGAUCCAUAGAAAUUAUGUAAAAAAAUCUGGUGAUGAAAUCUGGUAACUGAUUAAUCUUAUAUAUUUCAGGUCUGUAGCCAGGAAUUUCCAAGGGGGAGGUAGGUAGUGGGGUUCGAUACAAUCAUACUAAACUUAAAUUGUAACAAUUCAAACAGAAUGUCAACUUUAACAGUGCUUAUUUGUUUUCAAGGAGGGUUUAUAUGAACCCCUCAAACCCCCUGAGUAUGUAAUUCAUGAUAAAUUUACUUGAAAACUGCAUUUUUGCCAUGUGUUUCAGAUGUGAAAUGAUUGAGUGUAUAAAAUAAAGAGAUGUGGUAUAAUUGCCAAUGAGACAAUUAUCCACCAGAGAAUCCAAUGACAUCUACAAAUGUGUUAGUUUCAGCUGUAUAAAACAAGAUCUAACAAGAA
rnacentral:lncRNA from 1 species